AGGAUUCCUUUAGUAAUGGCGAAUGAACAAGGAACAGCUCAAAUUGACAGUCUGAACCCAAGGUUUCGACUUGCGUGUUCUAAUUGCGUUGCCAAUGCAAGUGUGCAUGUAAGGCUUUUGGGAAAAAGCGGGAAUGAAGGUGAAACUCCUGCGCGGCAUGUGCAAUCUUUCAUGCAAGGCGUGCUCUUAAGAGUCGCGUUCCUUGGCAUUGGAGCGCAAAACGGGUGGUAAACUUCAUCCAAAGCUAAAUAUUGGGUUGAGACCGAUAGCAAACAAGUACCAUGAGGGAAUUGUGAAAAGGACUUUGGAAAGAAAGUUAGAAGUACCUGAAAUUGCUGAAAUCAAAGCAAAUGGCAUGUCUGAAGUCAAGCAAGAUUGCGGUGCGCAGCUUUCAGUCAGCUGGUGUGUAUGCUUAAGCAUCCUAGGCUGUUUCCGCGUACAGUGCGUCUUGCUUUGUAUGUCAAAACCAAGCUGCGGUGCCAAUGUUAUGAGCAUGAGGUAACUACCAUCGCUUGGUGUGAUCAUGCCCACAUCUGGCAUUUGGUUUGGUUGUUGUUGCCAGGUGGUGUGCUACGUGGAAGGCUUAUGCUUUUGGGGUGCGCUUGGCAUUUUCAUUGACCUGACGUUUCAUUUGACCCGUCUUGAAACACGGACCAAGGAGUCUAAUGCAUGUGCAAGUUUGUGGGUUUACAAUUUGGGGCAUAAUGAAAAUGACAGUCGGGAUGUGUGCACCGACAACCGACCAAUCAAUUGUGAGAGGUUUGAGUUUGAGCAUGUUGAUUAGGACCCGAAAGAUGGUGAACUAUGCUUGAGAAGAAUAAAUUCAGGGGAAACUCUGAUGGAGGCUUGCAGCGGUACUGACGUGCAAAUCGUUCGUCACACUUGGGUAUAGGGGCGAAAGACUAAUCGAACCAUCUAGUAGCUGGUUCCCUCCGAAGUUUCCCUCAGGAUAGCUGGAGCUGCAGAGUUUCAUCAGGUAAAGCGAAUGAUUAGAGGAAUUGGGGGCGCGUUGUCCUCGACCUAUUCUCAAACUUUAAAUGGGUAAGUUCCAAUGGUUGUUUUGUAAACUUUUGGGGAAAUGGAAAAUCUAUGUGGGCCAUUUUUGGUAAGCAGAAUUGGCGAUGAGGGAUGAACCUAACGUUGGGAUAAGGUGCUUUACUGCUCGCUCAUCAGAUACCAUAAAAGGUGUUGGUUCAUUUAAACAGCAGGACGGUGGUCAUGGAAGUCGAAAUCCGCUAAGGAGUGUGUAACAACUCACCUGCCGAAUGGACUAGCCCUGAAAAUGGAUGGCGCUCAAGCGGGUGACCAAUACCUAACCGCUGUGGAACAUGUUUAUCAACAGUGAGUAGGGGGGUUCAAUAGCU
rnacentral:rRNA from 1 species